UGAGGAAUAUUGGUCAAUGGGUGCAAGCCUGAACCAGCCAUCCCGCGUGAAGGACGACUGCCCUAUGGGUUGUAAACUUCUUUUGUAUAGGGAUAAACCUACCCUCGUGAGGGUAGCUGAAGGUACUAUACGAAUAAGCACCGGCUAACUCCGUGCCAGCAGCCGCGGUAAUACGGAGGGUGCAAGCGUUAUCCGGAUUUAUUGGGUUUAAAGGGUCCGUAGGCGGACUUAUAAGUCAGUGGUGAAAGCCUGUCGCUUAACGAUAGAACUGCCAUUGAUACUGUAAGUCUUGAGUAUAUUUGAGGUAGCUGGAAUAAGUAGUGUAGCGGUGAAAUGCAUAGAUAUUACUUAGAACACCAAUUGCGAAGGCAGGUUACCAAGAUAUAACUGACGCUGAGGG
rnacentral:rRNA from 1 species